GGCCUGGUGGUCUAGUAGUAUGAUUCCUUGUUAGGGUGUAACAGCCAAAUUCGAGGAGGUCCUGGGUUCAAUUCCCAGUUAGGCCC